rnacentral:rRNA from 1 species
UAUGGGGGGGGCAAGCGUUGUUCGGAAUUACUGGGCGUAAAGGGCUCGUAGGUGGCCAACUAAGUCACACGUGAAAUCCCUCGGCUUAACCGGGGAACUGCGUGUGAUACUGGAUGGCUUGAGUUUGGGAGAGGGAUGCGGAAUUCCAGGUGUAGCGGUGAAAUGCGUAGAUAUCUGGAGGAACACCGGUGGCGAAGGCGGCAUCCUGGACCAAUACUGACGCUGAGGAGCGAAAGCCAGGGGAGCAAACGGG